ensembl:lncRNA
AACAAACAAGAACUAGAACUGUCGUGAUGUUUCUAGAUGCACUGUUCUCACUUGGUGAAAGUUGCUUUGGCAUGGCAGCAAAGGUCAGUGUUGACAGAGCAAACACAUCUCCAACAGAAGGUCUGCCCCGGUGCACCUGCGUCUCAUGGCCUGAGUGAUUACUUGCUAUAGAAAAGACGCUGAAGCGGAGCAUCGAAGGGAAUAAGAUCCACCAGCAAACAAGCUUUAUUACCCCUUUUUCUUUAUUUUGGGGUUUGUUAUUUCCUUUUUUGUUGUCUUUAUACCUUGGAGUUGCUACGUGGUUUGAGGAAGUAUAUUAUCCUUUGCUAGUUAUUCUAUGUUCAUUUGUGUUUCCCGUUUUUUUGUUUGCAUACGUGUUUUCCAUUUGUGUUAUGUUCCGUUUUGUUAUUUAAAUAAAUUUUCACCUGGUCUCUGGAUUCACGUGUCCCCUUUAUACUGCAUCCCCCUUUCUGGGUAAAUUUAACAGGGGUUUGUAAAGAAGCUGAAAAACAGAAGCUGCUUGACUCAGGGUAUGUCGUCAGGGUACCACUAGAAGGCCAGCAGGAAGACGAGAAGUUAUGGUUCAUACCACACCACCUUGUGCAGCAUAACGGCAAAUACAGGUCCUACCCUUGGUGCAUCACUGUUAGGAGUCCUUCUCCAUUUCUGGAAGUACGCAGUUGCCAUCAGUGGGGAUAUACAUGGUAUGUUCCACCAAGUGAGGCUCCUACCUGAGGACAG